CUAUCGAUGGCAGUACUUUAUCAUUGACUUUGCAGGCCUAUUUAGGGAAGACAAUAAAUUAGUCGGAUAAAAGUCGGCUCAGGCGAUAUCUAUCUGAAUAUCUAUCGGUCGGGUCCACACGGCUGCACUCGAUACUCGCAAAAGCCAGUGCCAGAAAUCGAAGCCAAACGUCGCCAUUUUAAAGUUCGUCCCACUUGGAUUUUUCGCAAAAGAAAAAACGCAACGCUUUGAGGAAGGAGCAUAUAAUUUGUGUCAUUUAUAGCAAACUCACGUUUUUCUUCUAGAAAUUGGAAUUGGAAAUUACAACAAGAUGUCGAACCCAGAACGUAUUAUUUUGAAUUUAGUCACUGAUAAUGUUGUGUUUGGUCAUAUCAUUACUGAAAAAACUACCGAGUUCUUCCAACUUAUGCACGCUGCUACUCUGUGCUUAAAUGUCCCCAUGGAUGGCAUGCGCUUCAUCUACAAUGGGCAUAUCAUCAAGGCAGCGGACACACCCGGGGGGCUGGGUAUGCAAAACGGCCAAGUCAUCAACGUAGAGAUGACUGAUCCAGCAUAUGUUCCUACUCCGGAGUAAGCGUGUCAUACCCAACACAAUAAACCACUUUAUAGACGAAAGAACUUUGCGAAAGAAAUAAAAUAAAGGUUAAACUUUCAUCUAUUGAUGAAAAAAGGCCGAAAAAAGCUGCUCCCGUCCGAAUAUCGGUCCGGAGAAUGCAAUAAAAAAACUUA